rnacentral:rRNA from 1 species
AGUGGCGAACGGGUGAGUAACACGUGGGAAAUCUGCCCUGCACUCUGGGACAAGCCUUGGAAACGAGGUCUAAUACCGGAUAUGACCUGUCCUCGCAUGGGGGUGGGUGUAAAGCUCCGGCGGUGCAGGAUGAUCCCGCGGCCUAUCAGCUUGUUGGUGGGGUAAUGGCCUACCAAGGCGACGACGGGUAGCCGGCCUGAGAGGGCGACCGGCCACACUGGGACUGAGACACGGCCCAGACUCCUACGGGAGGCAGCAGUGGGGAAUAUUGCACAAUGGGCGAAAGCCUGAUGCAGCGACGCCGCGUGAGGGAUGACGGCCUUCGGGUUGUAAACCUCUUUCAGCAGGGAAGAAGCGCAAGUGACGGUACCUGCAGAAGAAGCACCGGCUAACUACGUGCCAGCAGCCGCGGUAAUACGUAGGGUGCGAGCGUUGUCCGGAAUUAUUGGGCGUAAAGAGCUCGUAGGCGGCCUGUCGCGUCGGAUGUGAAAGCCCGGGGCUUAACCCCGGGUCUGCAUUCGAUACGGGCAGGCUAGAGUGUGGUAGGGGAGAUCGGAAUUCCUGGUGUAGCGGUGAAAUGCGCAGAUAUCAGGAGGAACACCGGUGGCGAAGGCGGAUCU